rnacentral:rRNA from 1 species
AGCGUUACUCGUCGUGAUUGGGUGUAAAAACGGCUAGGUAGUUUAUUAGGUUUUUUUUUAAAAAAGCUGAUUUGAUGGUUUUUAGAGGAAAUUGAUAAUACUUGGAGUACACGGACGUAUACGAAAUUAUAAUUGGAGCAGUAAAAUGCUUAGAUAAUUAUGGAAUCUCCUGUAGCGAUGCGGUAAGCGACGUGUACUUGACACUUAACCGUUAAAGUACGAGUAUCGAAUAGGAUUUGAGACCCUAGUAGUUCGUACCCUGAAUUAUGAAUGUCUAUUUGUCAAGUUGAUUAACGUUUGAACAUUCUGCCUGAAGAUUAAAGCCGCAAGGGUAAAAUUUAAAAAGAUUGGCGGGAGUUUAUAUAAAUGGUGGAACAUGUGGUUUAAUUUGAUAAUCCGCGUGAAACCUUACCAGUGUAAUUCGCUUUAAGACUUAGUAAAUUGCUGCUCUUUUUUAACGAUAGUCUCCGUUUAGGUACUGCAUGGCUGUCGUCAGUUUGUUAUGUGAGUUUAACUCGAACACAAUCUUUUAAAACUACCGAUUAGGUUAUACGUUUAGGAUACUUAAGCAAUUAAGCCUAGUUGCGUUUAUUUAAAAUAUGUAGUUGUUUCGCUAAAUUAUUUUGUUUCUUUAAAUUAUUUUGUUGGCUUUUGUAUCGGUUAUAAUUAUAAAAGUUGACGGUUUACUUUAUUUGAAAUUUAAUUUGGUGAAUUAAGAGGGGAAGUCAAGUCAUUAUGGUCUUGAUAUGCUGGGCAACACACGUGUUACAGAGGUAAAAACAAUGAGUAUUAUUGAAAAAUAAUUUAUCUUUAAAAAUUACCGGGGUUCGGAUUAUUCACUGAAAUUGGUGAGUAUGAAGUAGAAAUCAUUAGUAAUCGUAAAUAAGCUCGUUACGAUGAAUUUUUUUAAACUUUGCACACACCGCCCAUCAUAUUCGGAGAGUCUCCUUGGUUUGAAGAUAGGACAACCUAUUGAAUUAAUAUAAUUAUUUAGUUUUGGUUUAUGUCGAAAAACAGAGAGGUAAUUGGGAUGAAGUU